rnacentral:rRNA from 1 species
AAUGAACGCUGGCGGCAUGCCUAACACAUGCAAGUCGAACGAGACCUCCGGGUCUUGUGGCGCACGGGUGCGUAACGCGUCGGAACCUUAACUUAUGUUUGGAAUACCUCUCCGACAGGGGUGCUAAUACCGGAUAAUGUCUUCGGCCCAAAGAUUUAUCGACUUUGGUUGGGCCCUCGUUGGAUUAGCUAGUUGGUAGGGUAAAAGCCUACUACGGCGACGAUCCAUAGCUGGGCUGUGAGGAUGGUCAGCAACACUUGGACGAGGACCCGGCCCAGACUCCUACGGGAGGCAGCAAUGGGGGAUAUUGCACAAUGGGCGAAAGCCUGAUCCAGCAAUGCCGCGUGAGUGAUGAAGGCCUUAGAGUUGUAAAGCUCUUUUACCCGGGAUGAUAAUGACAGUACCGAAAGAAUAAGCUCCGGCUAACUCCGUG